rnacentral:piRNA from 1 species
UGAUAUCAUUGAUUAGGCUACUUAAAA